AAACCAUGAUUCGGGCAUUUCCUGAGUAAUGCCUGAAAACGUUCCCAAGCUUCAUAAAAUGCUUCAUCAGUCCCCUGCCUGAAGGUGGAUAUCUCAAACUUGGCAU
rfam:Lupinus angustifolius cultivar Tanjil chromosome LG09, whole genome shotgun sequence.